rnacentral:sRNA from 1 species
AAAGAGGAGCGAGAGCCCGGCGAUGGCGGCUGCGCCGGCCUUGAAGCACUGGCGCACCACGCUGGAGCGGGUGGAGAAGUUCGUGUCGCCGCUCUACUUUACCGACUGUAACCUCCGCGGCAGGCUUUUUGGGGCCAGCUGCCCUGUGGCUGUGCUCUCCAGCUUCCUGACGCCGGAGAGACUUCCCUACCAGGAGGCAGUCCAGCGGGACUUCCGCCCCGCGCAGGUCGGCGACAGCUUCGGACCCACAUGGUGGACCUGCUGGUUCCGGGUGGAGCUGACCAUCCCAGAGGCAUGGGUGGGCCAGGAAGUUCACCUUUGCUGGGAAAGUGAUGGAGAAGGUCUGGUGUGGCGUGAUGGAGAACCUGUCCAGGGUUUAACCAAAGAGGGUGAGAAGACCAGCUAUGUCCUGACUGACAGGCUGGGGGAAAGAGACCCCCGAAGCCUCACUCUCUAUGUGGAAGUUGCCUGCAAUGGGCUCCUAGGGGCCGGGAAGGGAAGCAUGAUUGCAGCCCCUGACCCUGAGAAGAUGUUCCAGCUGAGCCGGGCUGAGCUAGCCGUGUUCCACCGGGAUGUCCACAUGCUCCUGGUGGAUCUGGAGCUGCUGCUGGGCAUAGCCAAGCCUGGCUUUGGCCCUUCAAAGAGACUGUGAGGAAAUG